AACAUGCAAGUCGAGCGAACGGACGAGAAGCUUGCUUCUCUGAUGUUAGCGGCGGACGGGUGAGUAACACGUGGAUAACCUACCUAUAAGACUGGGAUAACUUCGGGAAACCGGAGCUAAUACCGGAUAAUAUUUUGAACCGCAUGGUUCAAAAGUGAAAGACGGUCUUGCUGUCACUUAUAGAUGGAUCCGCGCUGCAUUAGCUAGUUGGUAAGGUAACGGCUUACCAAGGCAACGAUGCAUAGCCGACCUGAGAGGGUGAUCGGCCACACUGGAACUGAGACACGGUCCAGACUCCUACGGGAGGCAGCAGUAGGGAAUCUUCCGCAAUGGGCGAAAGCCUGACGGAGCAACGCCGCGUGAGUGAUGAAGGUCUUCGGAUCGUAAAACUCUGUUAUUAGGGAAGAACAUAUGUGUAAGUAACUGUGCACAUCUUGACGGUACCUAAUCAGAAAGCCACGGCUAACUACGUGCCAGCAGCCGCGGUAAUACGUAGGUGGCAAGCGUUAUCCGGAAUUAUUGGGCGUAAAGCGGGCGUAGGCGGUUUUUUAAGUCUGAUGUGAAAGCCCACGGCUCAACCGUGGAGGGUCAUUGGAAACUGGAAAACUUGAGUGCAGAAGAGGAAAGUGGAAUUCCAUGUGUAGCGGUGAAAUGCGCAGAGAUAUGGAGGAACACCAGUGGCGAAGGCGACUUUCUGGUCUGUAACUGACGCUGAUGUGCGAAAGCGUGGGGAUCAAACAGGAUUAGAUACCCUGGUAGUCCACGCCGUAAACGAUGAGUGCUAAGUGUUAGGGGGUUUCCGCCCCUUAGUGCUGCAGCUAACGCAUUAAGCACUCCGCCUGGGGAGUACGACCGCAAGGUUGAAACUCAAAGGAAUUGACGGGGACCCGCACAAGCGGUGGAGCAUGUGGUUUAAUUCGAAGCAACGCGAAGAACCUUACCAAAUCUUGACAUCCUUUGACAACUCUAGAGAUAGAGCAUUCCCCUUCGGGGGACAAAGUGACAGGUGGUGCAUGGUUGUCGUCAGCUCUUGUCGUGAGAUGUUGGGUUAAGUCCCGCAACGAGCGCAACCCUUAAGCUUAGUUGCCAUCAUUAAGUUGGGCACUCUAAGUUGACUGCCGGUGACAAACCGGAGGAAGGUGGGGAUGACGUCAAAUCAUCAUGCCCCUUAUGAUUUGGGCUACACACGUGCUACAAUGGACAAUACAAAGGGCAGCGAAACCGCGAGGUCGAGCAAAUCCCAUAAAGUUGUUCUCAGUUCGGAUUGUAGUCUGCAACUCGACUACAUGAAGCUGGAAUCGCUAGUAAUCGUAGAUCAGCAUGCUACGGUGAAUACGUUCCCGGGUCUUGUACACACCGCCCGUCACACCACGAGAGUCUGUAACACCCGAAGCCGGUGGAGUGACCUUUUAGGAGCUAGCCGUCGAAGUGA
rnacentral:rRNA from 1 species